UGACAAAAGAAAACAAUGGAUGAAUGAAUGUUGUUGGGGGUUUACAAUCUCAUCUAAUCCGCUCUCUCUUACCUACUCCUCUUGAAUAUUAGUUUGAUUAAUUAAUUGUUAUGCGACUUUCUUAGCCUCCCCUUAACCCGAUCCCUCGGCGAAAAGAGCCUAAUAUUAACUACUUGCUUGCUAUCCCUAGCUUCUUCUAGCAAUUAAUACCGCAUUAUAAACAGAAGUUAGCGCAAUUG
rnacentral:lncRNA from 1 species